GAAGUAAACUGGGUGAUCGCUGUUUUGGCCCUUGGGUCGAGAGAGAGGAAAGUCCGGGCUCCACAGGGCAGGAUACUCCGUAACUCGGAGUGAGGGUGACCUUAAGGAAAGUGCCGCAGAAAAUACACAGCCUACCCGACUGUCAAUAGUCGGCGGCAAUGGUGAAAAGGCGAGGUAAGAGCUCACCAGUACUGCUGGCGACAGCGGUAGCUUGGUAAACCCUAUCCGGAGCAAGAUCAAAUAGGAAAGUGGGUUGCCCGCCCUAGACUUUCGGGUUGAUUGCUUGAGCCUGUUGGCAACAGCAGGCCUAGAUUGAUGGUUACCGCUUCAUUUAAUAUGAAGAACAAAACCCGGCUUAUGGUUUACUUCGGCU
rnacentral:RNase_P_RNA from 1 species